rnacentral:rRNA from 1 species
UACAGAGGUCCCAAGCGUUGUUCGGAUUCAUUGGGCGUAAAGGGUGCGUAGGUGGUGCCGUAAGUUGGGUGUGAAAUCUCGGGGCUUAACCCCGAAACUGCAUUCAAUACUGCGGUGCUCGAGUACUGGAGAGGAGACUGGAAUUCACGGUGUAGCAGUGAAAUGCGUAGAUAUCGUGAGGAAGGCCAGUGGCGAAGGCGGGUCUCUGGACAGUUACUGACACUGAGGCACGAAGGCCAGGGGAGCAAACGGG